AGUGAACGCUGGCGGUAGGCCUAACACAUGCAAGUCGAACGGCAGCACAGUAAGAGCUUGCUCUUACGGGUGGCGAGUGGCGGACGGGUGAGGAAUACAUCGGAAUCUACUUUUUCGUGGGGGAUAACGUAGGGAAACUUACGCUAAUACCGCAUACGACCUACGGGUGAAAGCAGGGGAUCUUCGGACCUUGCGCGAUUGAAUGAGCCGAUGUCGGAUUAGCUAGUUGGCGGGGUAAAGGCCCACCAAGGCGACGAUCCGUAGCUGGUCUGAGAGGAUGAUCAGCCACACUGGAACUGAGACACGGUCCAGACUCCUAUGGGAGGCAGCAGUGGGGAAUAUUGGAAAAUGGGCGCAAGCCUGAUCCAGCCAUACCGCGUGGGUGAAGAAGGCCUUCGGGUUGUAAAGCCCUUUUGUUGGGAAAGAAAAGCAGCAGGUUAAUACCCCGCUGUUCUGACGGUACCCAAAGAAUAAGCACCGGCUAACUUCGU
rnacentral:rRNA from 1 species